rnacentral:rRNA from 1 species
UCCUGCCCAAUGAUUAUUUAAAUGGCUGCAGUAUACUGACUGUGCAAAGGUAGCAUAAUAAUUAGUCUUUUAAUUGAGGACUUGUAUGAAUGGAUUUAUGUGGGAUUUAUUUUAUUAAUUUUAUAUUUAAAAUUUAAUUUUUAAGUAAAAAAGCUUAUGUAUUUUUUCGGGACGAUAAGACCCUAUAGAACUUUAAUUUUAUUUUUAAUGAUUAUUAAUUUAGGUUUAUUAUUGUUUUAUUGAUUUUGAUAUUUUUGUUGGGGUGAUGAAUAAAUAUUUAACUUUAUUUUUUGUUCUCAUUAAUUUAUGCUUUUUUUGAUCCAUUUUAAUGAUUUUAAGAUUAAGUUACCUUAGGGAUAACAGCGUAAUUUUGAUGGGGAGUUCAUAUUUAUAUUAAAGUUUGCGACCUCGAUGUUGAAUUAAGAUAAUUUUAGGGUGUAG